UCUAUGGAUGAAUUCCAUAUGUACAGACUUUUUUAUGCUAUGACAUUCGUAUGACCACUUUUAUGAGAAAAGAAAAAACAAUAUGAUAAUGUUUUGUUUGAAAUUGGUAAGAUAUGAUAGUUGUCAUUUAUUGUACACGAUUGAGAUAUUCUGUGGACUUAAAAACCUUGAGAAUGAUUAACUAACUGUAGUUGGAAUGCCUAUGCACAACAUAUUAUGCACAGGUUAUGCUAAGUUGUGAAAAGUUAUGUUACGAUAAACCAGUCAUUAAGCUAAAUCAUACUUAUUAUCAAGGAUUACAAUCCUAUGUUAUGUGCGUAAGCUAAAAAUAAAGAUAAAUGGAUCAUAUUUUAAUCAUGUUACAUAUUAUAAUUCAGUUGGAUAUUCCAAACUCAGAACAGCAUCAUCGGGCAUUUAUUGUCAAAGAAAUGAAUUAACUUCAAUACAAAUACUGUUGGAUCCAAUAUAUAUGCCGGAGUUCGCCACGCUGGAUGGGAACAUGAGAGGAACAGGAGGGGAACGAAGUUAGGGUUUGGAGGCUCCAGUGGGGGGCUGCAAAGGCAGGGGAGGGCAACUCGGUCAUCCUCUCUUUGUUGCAGUGCCAGAUCAAGCCCAGGCCCCUGCUGUAGCACCCGUCGGUAAGCCUGUGAGAGAGCUGUGUUCCUGCAAGCUCCGGCACCAUGGUGGCCGUCAAGAAGACCAAAAAGGCCCAAGAGUCCAUCAACAACAGGCUUGCCCUGGUCAUGAAGUCCGGCAAGUACACGCUGGGCUACACCACCACACUCAAGUCGCUCCGGGGCGGCAAGGGCAAGCUCGUCAUUAUAGCCAACAACUGCCCACCUCUUCGAAAGUCCGAAAUCGAAUACUACGCCAUGCUCUCCAAGACCGGUGUGCACCACUACAGCGGCAACAACGUGGACCUGGGAACCGCCUGCGGGAAGUACUUCCGCGUGUGCACUUUGAGUAUCACGGACCCUGGUGAUUCUGACAUCAUCCGCUCCAUGCCUACUUCUACUGAAUAGAAGAACAUGGGCAGGGGAGAUGGGAGAUGCGGCGGACGUCGGUAGCUGGUGCUUAUCUCGGUAUGCAGAUUUCCUUGGUGUGAACGGAAAGUUUUGGGUCGUGGGGUGAGAUGGGGAAUUUAAAGCUCGUCUUUGAUGCCGUCACUUGGUUAGGUCGUUAGAAUUUGGGAUGUUGUGAGUGAUAGAGCUACUAAAGGGUUCAGG
rnacentral:lncRNA from 1 species